AAAACCGGAAUGAACUUUUUGG
rnacentral:miRNA from 1 species